CACUUUUAUGCCUGAUGUCCUGGUUUAAAUAUUGAUAACACUUCCUUUCAGUUUUAAAAAAUGGUCUGGUUAGGAUGCUAAGUUGGGCUGACACACUGCUUAUGGACAGUUAUAACGGAAUUACAUUCCAUUCUCAGAGCAAGUGAAGUCUUAGAAAGGAUUUAAACAGAUAAUUCCUUGACAUAAUUCAUAUUGCUGUGUGGAGAAUAGAUUGGAGAGAGCAAGGGACAGAAUGAGUACAAGAGUGGCUAUGGCAUAGCUGGCAAGGAGGAAGGUGGUAAGGAAUGAAAUUGAACAACAGAAACAAUCCAGAUCUUAUAAUUCUUUAAAGCCACUGUAGGCCGGGUGCGGUGGCUCACGCCUGUAAUCCCAGCACUUUCGGAGGCUGAGGAGGGCAGAUUACGAGGUCAAGAGAUUGAGACCAUCCUAGCCAACAUGGUGAAACCCCAUCUCUACUAAAAAUACAAAAAUUAGCUGGGCCUGGUGAUGGGCACCUGUAGUCCCAGCUACUCGGGAGGCUGAGGCAGGAGAAUCACUUGAACCCAGGAGGCGGAGGUUGCAGUGAGCUGAGAUUGCGCCAUGGCACUCCAGUCUGGGCGACAGUGUGAGACUCUGUCUGAAAAAAAAAAAAAAAAAAAGUCAUGAUAAGACGUUUUGGUUAUUUCUCCCUCUUACCUUGAGAUGAAAAUUUUGUAAGGCAUUAAGUAGUUUAAUUCAAAUAUGAGAUUUAUAUUUCUUCAAAUAAUUUAUUAUUUUGCAUAUUAUAGUGGUAUGGGGUGGAUGGAGGAAGAGCAGUUGGAACCAAUUGUGAUGCUGCAACCAAGAACAAUGAGGGCAUAGACUGAGAGGUGACCAUGGAAACACAUGGAGGGUUUGGCAAGAGUGUUGGAGGCGGAGAAGGUGGAAUAUUAAUGGAUUCAGUGCAGCAUGUGAAGGACUCAUGGAUUUACUGCAUCCCUCACAAGGGAUGACGCCUGGGUUGCCUGACUGAGCGUAUAGUUGGAGUUUGGUAACAAUGUAUUAAGACAUUGCGUUAAAUCUAAGUGUUG
rnacentral:lncRNA from 10 species